CUGUGCCACACGCUGUGGUGGAACCCAGGGGUUGUGCCCUCCUCGGCUUGUGGUGCAGCCACAGCCCUGCUCUGACCCGGCCUUAAAAGCACCACAGCUCCUACCCUGUGGUUAGCUCCUUGCCCCGCCGCCUUCUCCCUCACAAGAGGCAGAUAGCGCCGUGCAGAACCACCAACCGCGGCCAUAAGAGUCACACCUGACUGGAAUAUGGCCUUGCUGUGAGGAGCUCGUUGAAGGGCAGCAUUCCAUCUUUACAGCUCUGUGUUUGCUGGUCGUGGUUUGCAGCCUGAUACGGAUGUUGCCCAGACACCCAGGACACCUCCUGAGGGCCUCCAGCGGGUUCUGUAAGAGGUGUGACACAGCAAAGCGGGCAAAAGGGUGAGGUAAAGGCACCGGCUGGGGCACAGCACGGCCAGGAACCUCGUCCCCACUGCUCCAGCAAGACCAAGCCAACUGACAAAAAGCCACAGGAAAGAAUUGUACACAUUAAAGCUGCCACUGGAGAAUAUUAACUGAUUUAACAUACUUCUCAACACACAUUGCAAGACCAUCUUCAAAUAUUGUCUGUGCACGGUGUUGAACAGGAAUCGCAGCUCCUUGAGUGUCAUCAAAACAGCGAAUUCAGUCAAGUGAUUUUAUAAUAAUCAGGAUUGACAGACUGUUUUGUUACAUACCUUUACUGUUGUUCUCUAUCAGCUUGUUUUCAAUGUCAGUUUCGAACGAGCAGUCAUGAAGGAAGAUUUUUUUCUCAAGAGAGGUGGAAGUCUGUUGGCUAUUUCUUUGCAAGUCACAAGACACAAAGAGAGUGCCUGAGUACUAUGGUACUUUCACGGCUUCUGUCUUCUGAAAAUCUCAGUGAAAGCUCAGGGAAAUCUGCUUGAAUAAACAUCCCAAAUCGAUCAUCAGAUCCAGUCCGCACACUAACAGUGAGUGCUAUAUGUUUAUGUAAAUAUUGUAUGAACAGGUGAAUGUCAGUGGAUUAGUCCCCAGGUGGAUCUUUCCCAUUUUCAACUUCCUGUGCCUAUGGGACUUAAUUCUGGAGUAUUCAUCUUAAACUUUCAUUUAGGAGCACUGGAUGUCCUUUGCUUUUAUGAAUUUAACUGAUUACAUUUUGAAUCCUCUUAGAUUAGUCCCCAACACCUUGUUGCAAGAACAUUCUGUAUUAAACUGUUUUGUGUUUUGUGUUGUGUGAAAAAAUAUUUCCUCUUACGAGUUUUAAACCAUCUGCUUAAAAGUAUUACUAGUCCAAACGUCAUGGGAAAUGGUGUAUAAUAAUUUUGUUUUAUUCCUUUCACUGUCACUUGUGAAUUUAGAAAUCCUUAGAUUUCUUACUACAUUGUUUUCUUUACUAUGCCUAAGACUUGAGGUAUAUUUAUUUUCUUCUUGUUCAGAAGUUGUGCCAUAGCUUUGGAAUUCUGCUCUAUCUUUUUGAAACUGAAGGGAGGGACGAGCACUGCAUACAGCAUUGAAGACACGCAAUGGCCUACUUAUGUUUUUUUUUUCUUGGUUCCCUUCGUAAGAGUUCUUAGCACUGUCUGCCUUUUUGAAUGUCACAGAACUCUGAGCUGGUAUUUUAAUCUGCAGCACAUCUAUCAUCUGUCUGUGGUUGUUGUUUAACUGAACUCAGCACCAGUUCUGCUGUCCCCACUGCUAUGUGCCCUUCCAUCAUGGACUGGGAAGAGAGUGAUCCUUAAUUUCAUAUUGUAACACCUGGCAAAGCAAGCUGAGAGAGGACUCUUGAUCUUUGUUAUCUGCCUUUCACUUUUUCUGUAAUUAAACUGAGGAUGUUGGUCUCGGGAUUAGGAAAAAACAUUUAUGAUAUUUGUUUAAAGAAGAAAUAAUAAUAUAAAGUAUUGCAAUUGGAGCUUGCAAAAGCACAGCCUUUCUGAUUUGCUAGAAAUUAUGUUAUUUUUAAAUUUGGCUUCAGUCCAUAUUGGAUCAAAACCAAAUUUCUAAAUACGUUUCUGAUGAACUGCAAGUUCCCCAGAUUCUGCUGCGGUGCUCUGAAAUUGAUGUUCUUGUCAGUGCAGUGGUUUCCUUGAGCAGCUGCAAGCAGCUCCCAGAGUUCUACGUGC